CCUACGGGUGGCAGCAGUGGGGAAUAUUGCACAAUGGGGGAAACCCUGAUGCAGCGACGCCGCGUGAGUGAAGAAGUAUUUCGGUAUGUAAAGCUCUAUUAUCAGGGAAGAACAUGACGGUACCUGAUUAAGAAGCCCCUGCUAACUACGUGCCAGCAGCCGCGGUAAUACGGAGGGGGCAAGUGUUCUCCGGAUGUACUGUGUGGAAAGGGAUCGUAGACGGCUGGACAAGGCUGGCGGGAAAGGCCUGGGCUUAAACCCGGAGCGGCUUUGGAAACUGGGCAGCCAGAGUGCAGGAGAGGGAAGUGGAAUUCCGAGUGGAGAGGGGAAAUGCGCAGAGAUAAGGAGGAACACCAGUGGCGAAGGCGGCUUACUGGACUGUAACUGACGUUGAGGCUCGAAAGCGUGGGGAGCAAACAGGAUUAGAUACCCGUGUAGUC
rnacentral:rRNA from 1 species